UACGGGGGGUGCAAGCGUUGUCCGGAAUCACUGGGCGUAAAGGGCGCGUAGGUGGUUUGAUAAAGGUGUGGUGAAAGCCCGGGGCUCAACCCCGGGUCUGCCGUGCCGACUGUCAAACUCGAGGGCUGUAGAGGCAGACGGAAUUCCGGGUGUAGCGGUGGAAUGCGUAGAGAUCCGGAGGAACACCAGCGGCGAAGGCGGCAUCCUGGACUGGUCCUGACACUCAUGAGCGAAAGCGUGGGGAGCGAUCCGG
rnacentral:rRNA from 1 species